rnacentral:lncRNA from 1 species
GAGCUGCCAUAGAUAGGCUGGUAAAGUACUUAAAAAAAGCAAAAAAAAAAAAAAAAAGCCAUUACAAUAUAUCCAGAUACUUUUCAAGAACUUUUGUCGGGCAUGGCCAAACUUGGAGCCAUAUUUCAUAAGAACUGCUAUUUACAUUUCAGCUCCAUAGGCUCGCUCUUUAUGUCCUUUUCCAUUGCUCUGCAAUUGCCAAAGGCUUUUGCACAAAUAGGAAUUCUUCCCUGUGGCUCCCCCCAGGCCGUGGAGCCCUCGGGGCUGCUGUGACAUCACCCCUUGUCCUCAGGAACUCCUCAGAUGUGACCUCAGGUGUGGGUCUUUUUUUUUUUUUUUUUUUUUGGUAUAACCAUUAUUGAAAAGGCAGCAGAGGAGAUUUACUGGCUGGUAAGAGUUUCUAAUGAUCAGAGAUUAAGGGUGGGACUUUCCAAACAGUCUGAGCCUUGAGCACAGUCGGGUUUGAACUCCAUUACCCAGCAGCUUUUCAAGGCUCCACCCUAAAUCUGUAUGAAAUUAUUCUAGCGGCGAGGAAAGUAUAUUUACCUAAUGUCAAAUAUUAAACAUUACUGCCCAUUAAAAUAUAGGGCUUCAUUAUAUUUGGCCUGGUGCAGAUGUGCAGGAGAGAAGGAGUAAUUAUCUUUUCCCAAGCCCUGCACCUCGGCGGAGGAGUCGUCGCCGAAUUUUGGUGUCUGCCCGUGGGUAACGAGCGUCUACUUUUUGGAGGAGCGAGUUCCACCUUCAGGCCAUAAUUGCUUCUGAGAACCAGGUCCCUCAGAACGCGGGGGAGCCCAACUGACCAUGCAGAAGACGAGGCAUCCAAACUUGCGGGCGCCUUGGAAAAGCCGAGGCCGAAAUAACUCACUCGCUGUCACGCAGCGAAGCCCUGCCAGCCGUGGGAUGGGAACACAGGCCUCUUUAUUCCGCUUUAUUCCCAACCCCUGGGCCUGCUCCACCAGCAGCCCUCGGCUCACCAGGCUGGGCAGGGUCUGGCAGGGGGCACCUCUUCCUUUUGUGCCGCUCGGCACAUCCCUCGGGCUCGCACGGUCGAACACAGAAUGCCUGGAAGAGGAGCAGCUCCUGGAAAAGCCCGAGGCACCCAGGCCUGAGUUUCCACGGUAACUCCAGCCCUUAUCUGCUGCUGCUGUUUGGCACACAGACAACAAGGCCUUUCAGUUUACUUCUCCCAUUUUUUUCCCCCCCUAAUAUUAUUUUCUUUAAAAACCUUUUUUUUUUUUUUUUUUUUAAUUCUUGGCCGUGUUCUUUUUUCUUCUUUUUUAUAUAUUAUAUAUUUAUAUAUAUAUUUUUAUUAUUUUUACUUCUCCCAACCCCUGUCAUUUAAAAAUCAC